UUCUAGUUUUCUUUUAACCUUUUGUUGUUUAACCCGUGUUUAUAUUGUCUCUCCGACACAAAUUAAGCCCUGGUGGACAUGGACAUUUCUAACUUUAGAAAUCUUUACACAAAACAUAUACACUAACUUAAAAAUCUCACUAGCUUUAGGCUAUUUCUAAAAACCUGUCUUACAGGUUUGGUAUCUAAAUUUAAGGUUUCCUUGUGAACUAAUCCUUGUCAAGCGUAGUUGUCUUAGCAAAGGAAGAGACGGGACAGAACUAUACUUUAGAGUGUUUCUGAGCAAACUAAGUAAAGAAAAAAAAACUUUUUAAUGAUUUUUCCAGUUUUGUUAAUCUGGGUAACUUGAUUCACAGAUAUUUAAAGUUACACUUGGCUACAUUGUAUUAGAUUGUACAAUGAAACUAAGCAAGACAAACCUGAUCUCGCUCUUCACACUGAUUCUGGUAUUUCACACCAUAGCUGUACAAGCAGAAGCUUCUAAUGAUGAGGCUCUGAGGAUCCUGGUUGUGGGAGUCAGAGGUCAGUCCAGAUUCAGUGCUGCAGAUCUUCUGUCAGGAAGGAAAGACGGAGGACAGGAGGACAGAGAGAUUGUAAAGACUCCAGUAAUUACAGACGGGGCUCGUAGAAUGAUGCUGGUCACUGGACCAAACCUCUGUGAGGAGGACACAGAGAGACAGACCUUCACAACAGCGCUGUUUCUCUCGUCUCCUGGACCUCACGCCGUUCUAAUGGUCCUGAAUCUGGAAGAUCAACAAUCACAACAGUGUGAUAUUGAGAAACGAGCCCAGGAGCUGCUGGGAGCAGAAGUCCUGCAGUACUGCAUUGUUCUUCUGCUCCAAAAUCACCAGGAACCUUUGACAGGAGCCUCCAGAGGGAUUGCUGGAGAAAUGAUCAACGCAUGUGGAGGAAGAUUUCACAUCAUAAGAGACUCUGAACCAAAACCUGCUCAAAGAGCAGCUCUUAUAGCAGAAAUACACAAGUUAGUUUGGCUCAAUGAUCACAGAUUUUACUCAGCACUGAGUGAAAAGUUAGAAGCAGAUGAAACCAUUCAAGAUGUGCAUGAACAAAAUCAAAUCCUCUCUGAAACACAUGACAGUUCAGCAGAAACUGCACGAUGGAUUUUACUCAUUUUACUGAACACUGCUUUUAUUUUCACUAAAAUAACGCAUGAACAUUUUCAUUUUGCGGAAAUAUUAUUUGUACUUGUUAGUUUUACGGUCACUAUAAGAAAUAUUCUCAAUCCAGAUGUUGCUGUUCCUUUAAAUUUGAUCCUAUCCUCCACUUUCCCAGUAGCUGUUGCAUAUCAUGACCUUGCAAAUUCGCGACAUGGACACCAAAUCAUAAUGUUUUUAGUCAUGAUCUUUACAUUUCCCAGUAUAGUGUUCAUAGCCGGUCUAGGACUGACUGUAGGAACAGCUGUCAGUGUACGGACGUGGUCAGAUGUGCUCAUAGCGUGCCAUGCUGCUCCCGGGGUCACAUUCGGGGCUCAUUUAUACACUAUUUACUCCAUUAUACCAGAUCAAAUGCAAGCUCGGACAACUCUAGUUUUUGCAUUCAAGUUAUUACUGUUUUGUUUUGUUGGAGUGACGCUCUCAAUGGGGUUUGUGACUGUAUUUGCUCUGUUUGGUGUGGAGAGAGCAAUAUUUCUGCUAAUAUUAGGAUUUACAAAAGCGUUUUUACAUUUAAAGAGUGAUGCUGUGAAAUUUAUUGUUUUUUUCUUGAUUUUUCCAUGCUGUUGUGUAUUUAGUGGUUCUUUAAUUUCAUUUUUAUGCCGUGUAUUAUUUCAUUAUAUUUUCACAGUAAUUGGUAGCUGAUAAUAGUGACCAAAUCAAAAGAGACUAACAGAUUUUGGAUCAUAAGUUAAUGCUGAUUUUGAUUUUUUUUUUAUGUUACUAUUUCAAACACGUAUUGAUGUUUCUUCAAGGAUGGGAACCUUUGGCCCAACACUAGUUUAUUUAAUUUGUUUACCAAUGAGGGUUUAACAUCGGGUUUACAGAUGUCACAGGAAAAACAUUUACUGCACAUUUUAAAUGAUGUAUUAUGUUUAUCAGUGUUAUGUGGUGAAGGUUUUUUUUUUUUUCCUGAAAUAAAAUGCCUAUUUUCAUAGUUUGAAAAUACA
ensembl:lncRNA